rnacentral:rRNA from 1 species
GACGAACGCUGGCGGCGUGCUUAACACAUGCAAGUCGAACGAUGAUGCCCAGCUUGCUGGGUGGAUUAGUGGCGAACGGGUGAGUAACACGUGAGUAACCUGCCCCUGACUCUGGGAUAAGCGUUGGAAACGACGUCUAAUACUGGAUAUGACUACCGGCCGCAUGGUCUGGUGGUGGAAAGAUUUUUUGGUUGGGGAUGGACUCGCGGCCUAUCAGCUUGUUGGUGAGGUAAUGGCUCACCAAGGCGACGACGGGUAGCCGGCCUGAGAGGGUGACCGGCCACACUGGGACUGAGACACGGCCCAGACUCCUACGGGAGGCAGCAGUGGGGAAUAUUGCACAAUGGGCGAAAGCCUGAUGCAGCAACGCCGCGUGAGGGAUGACGGCCUUCGGGUUGUAAACCUCUUUUAGUAGGGAAGAAGCGAAAGUGACGGUACCUGCAGAAAAAGCACCGGCUAACUACGUGCCAGCCGCCGCUGUAA